rnacentral:rRNA from 1 species
UACGUAGGGCGCGAGCGUUGUCCGGAUUUAUUGGGCGUAAAGGGCUCGUAGGCGGUUUGUCGCGUCGGGAGUGAAAACCUCGGGCUUAACUCGGGGCUUGCUUUCGAUACGGGCAGACUGGAGGUAUGCAGGGGAGAACGGAAUUCCUGGUGUAGCGGUGAAAUGCGCAGAUAUCAGGAGGAACACCGGUGGCGAAGGCGGUUCUCUGGGCAUGACCUGACGCUGAGGAGCGAAAGUGUGGGGAGCGAACAGG